rnacentral:rRNA from 1 species
AACGAACGCUGGCGGCAGGCUUAACACAUGCAAGUCGAACGCAUCCUUCGGGGUGAGUGGCAGACGGGUGAGUAACGCGUGGGAACGUGCCCUUCAGUUCGGGAUAACCCAGGGAAACUCGGGCUAAUACCGGAUACGUGCGAGAGCAGAAAGAUUUAUCGCUGAAGGAUCGGCCCGCGUCUGAUUAGCUAGUUGGUGAGGUAAUGGCUCACCAAGGCGACGAUCAGUAGCUGGUCUGAGAGGAUGAUCAGCCACAUUGGGACUGAGACACGGCCCAAACUCCUACGGGAGGCAGCAAUGGGGAAUAUUGGACAAUGGGCGCAAGCCUGAUCCAGCCAUGCCGCGUGAGCGAUGAAGGCCUUAGGGUUGUAAAGCUCUUUCAGUGGGGACGAUAAUGACGGUACCCGCAGAAGAAGCCCCGGCUAACUUCGUGCCAGCAGCCGCCGCCGUAA